GCAAUGGUGGCUCAUGGAGAUCUGGGUGCUAAACUUGCGGUUGAGGAAGUACCUUUACUACAGGGAAACAACAGAAGACCGUUCAGCCUCAUUCUACACUUCAAUUGCAAAGGUUUUGUAAUGUAUGUGUCUAUGACAUAUUGACCUUCUAAGGAGUUGCUUUCUGGAUUUGCUCGCUGCUCUAUGAAUCUAUUAUUUUAAGAAAUGAUGCCGGCCGCUCCUCCCCUCCGUCGUCCCUCUUCACCUGCUGGGUCCUCGCGGCUGGACGUCGUGGC